rnacentral:tRNA from 1 species
GGAAGCGUGCCCGAUAAAUUAGGGACUACUUUGAUAGAGUACUAUAAAGAGGUUAAAAUCCUCUCUCUUCC